rnacentral:rRNA from 1 species
AUUGAACGCUGGCGGCAGGCCUAACACAUGCAAGUCGAGCGGAUGAAGGGAGCUUGCUCCUGGAUUCAGCGGCGGACGGGUGAGUAAUGCCUAGGAAUCUGCCUGGUAGUGGGGGAUAACGUCCGGAAACGGGCGCUAAUACCGCAUACGUCCUGAGGGAGAAAGUGGGGGAUCCUCGGACCUCACGCUAUCAGAUGAGCCUAGGUCGGAUUAGCUAGUUGGUGGGGUAAAGGCCUACCAAGGCGACGAUCCGUAACUGGUCUGAGAGGAUGAUCAGUCACACUGGAACUGAGACACGGUCCAGACUCCUACGGGAGGCAGCAGUGGGGAAUAUUGGACCAUGGGCGAAAGCCUGAUCCAGCCAUGCCGCGUGUGUGAAGAAGGUCUUCGGAUUGUAAAGCACUUUAAGUUGGGAGGAAGGGCAGUAAGUUAAUACCUUGCUGUUUUGACGUUACCAACAGAAUAAGCACCGGCUAACUUCGUG